GUCUACAGCCAUGCUACCCUGAACAAGCCCGACCCUGUCUGACCUUCAAAGCUAAGCAGGGUCAGGCCUGGUUAGUACUUGGAUGGGAGACUACCUAGGAAGACCAGGUGCUGUAGGUG
rnacentral:rRNA from 1 species